GAUGAACGCUGGCGGCGUGCCUAAUACAUGCAAGUCGAGCGAACAGAUGAGGAGCUUGCUCCUCUGACGUUAGCGGCGGACGGGUGAGUAACACGUGGAUAACCUACCUAUAAGACUGGGAUAACUUCGGGAAACCGGAGCUAAUACCGGAUAAUAUAUUGAACGGCAUGUUUCAUUAUGAAAAGCCGUUUUUGCUGUCCCUUAUAGAGGGUUCCGCGCCGCAUUAGCUAGUUGGUAAGGUAACGGCUUACCAAGGCAACGAUGCGUAGCCGACCUGAGAGGGUGAUCGGCCACACUGGAACUGAGACACGGUCCAGACUCCUACGGGAGGCAGCAGUAGGGAAUCUUCCGCAAUGGGCGAAAGCCUGACGGAGCAACGCCGCGUGAGUGAUGAAGGUCUUCGGAUCGUAAAACUCUGUUAUUAGGGAAGAACAAAUGUGUAAGUAACUAUGCACGUCUUGACGGUACCUAAUCAGAAAGCCACGGCUAACUACGUG
rnacentral:rRNA from 1 species